CAAUAGCGUAUAUUAAAGUUGUUGCAGUUAAAAAGCUCGUAGUUGGAUUUCUGGCAGGAGCGACCGGUCACACACUCUGUGUGUGAACUUGCGUUGUCUCUGGCCAUCCUUGGGAAGAUCCUGUUUGGCAUUAAGUUGUCGGGCAGGGGAUACCCAUCGUUUACUGUGAAAAAAUUAGAGUGUUUAAAGCAGGCUUAUGCCGUUGAAUAUAUUAGCAUGGAAUAAUAAGAUAGGACUUCGGAACUAUUUUGUUGGUUUGCGUUACGAAGUAAUGAUUAAUAGGGACAGUUGGGGGUAUUCGUAUUUCGUUGUCAGAGGUGAAAUUCUUGGAUUUCCGAAAGACGAACUACUGCGAAAGCAUUUACCAAGGAUGUUUCCAUUAA
rnacentral:rRNA from 1 species